rnacentral:rRNA from 1 species
CAGUCGCCACGGUAAUACGGAGGGGGCUAGCGUUGUUCGGAAUUACUGGGCGUAAAGCGCACGUAGGCGGCUUGGUAAGUUAGAGGUGAAAGCCCGGAGCUCAACUCCGGAAUUGCAUUUAAGACUGCCGAGCUAGUAGGUGAGAGAGGUAAGUGGAAUUCCGAGUGUAGAGGUGAAAUUUGUAGAUAUUCGGAAGAACACCAGUGGCGAAGGCGGCUUACUGGCUCAUUCUAGACGCUGAGGUGCGAAAGCGUGGGGAGCAAACAGGAUUAGAUACCCCUGUAGUCCCUGUCUCUUAUAC